AUUGAACGCUGGCGGCAGGCCUAACACAUGCAAGUCGAGCGAGCGGCGGACGGGUGCGUAAUGUAUGGGGACUGCCCGAUAGAGGGGGAUAACUACUGGAAACGGUGGCUAAUACCGCAUACUAUCGGAUAACCCAUAUGGGAUUAGCUGGGUGGUGGGGUAAAGGCUCACCUAGGCGACGAUCUCUAGCUGGUCUGAGAGGAUGAUCAGCCAAAAUUGGACAUGGAAAAGGCCCCAAAUCCCAGGGAGGCAGCAUGGGGGAAUAGUUGACAAUGGGCGCAAGCCGGAUGCAGCCAUGCCGGGUGUAUGAAAAAGGCCUUAGGGUUGUAAAGUACUUUCAGCGGGGGGGCGUUAACCGCAAAAGAAGCACCGGCUAACUCCGUGCCAGCAGCCGCGGUAAUUC
rnacentral:rRNA from 1 species